CAUGUACUCCCUCCGUUCCAAAUUACUUGUCGUAGGUAUGGAUGUAUCUAGAUGUAUUUUAGUUCUAGAUACAUCCAUUUCUGCGACGAGUAAUUUGGAACGGAGGGAGUACUAG
rfam:Triticum urartu cultivar G1812 contig850303, whole genome shotgun sequence.